GACGAACGCUGGCGGCGUGCUUAACACAUGCAAGUCGAACGGAAAGGCCCUGCUUUUGUGGGUUGCUCGAGUGGCGAACGGGUGAGUAACACGUGAGUAACCUGCCCUUGACUUUGGGAUAACUUCAGGAAACUGGGGCUAAUACCGGAUAGGAGCUCCUGCUGCAUGGUGGUGGUUGGAAAGUUUCGGCGGUUGGGGAUGGACUCGCGGCUUAUCAGCUUGUUGGUGGGGUAGUGGCUUACCAAGGCUUUGACGGGUAGCCGGCCUGAGAGGGUGACCGGGCACAUUGGGACUGAGAUACGGCCCAGACUCCUACGGGAGGCAGCAGUGGGGAAUAUUGCACAAUGGGCGGAAGCCUGAUGCAGCAACGCCGCGUGCGGGAUGACGGCCUUCGGGUUGUAAACCGCUUUCGCCUGUGACGAAGCGUGAGUGACGGUAAUGGGUAAAGAAGCACCGGCUAACUACGUG
rnacentral:rRNA from 1 species